GUUUUAUUUAAGAAAAUAUGUUAAUUAAAGUUAUAUGAAAUUUUUAAGUUUUAUUAUUAAAAUUUAAAUAAUUAUUAAAAAUUAUAUUGUAAGUAAUGUAAAUGGAAAAUGGAUAAAUUUUAAAAAGAAGAUUUAAAUUAUUGAACCUUUUGUAUCAGGGAUUAUUAAAGUAUAUAUUAUUUAUAUUUAAUAUUCUCGAAUUAAUAAGAGUUAAUAAAUUUAUGAAAGUUAAUGUAGAAAAAUUAUUUUAAAUAAUUUAUUAGUGAAGAUAUUUCAGUCGUUUAUUAAGAUAUCUAGUUUUUUUAUUAUUAAAUUUAAUUUAGUUUUAAAUAUUAUAUAAUAGUUAAUUAUUUAAUUAUUAUAAGGGUUUAAAGUAAAUUUUUAUGGGAUAACCUAUAAUUAUUAUUAAAAUUAUUUUUUAAUAAAUUGAUUACUAUAAAAAUAUUUAUGAAAUUUGAAUUUUUUAAAAAUAAUUUAAUAAUUUAUAAAAAUAUAGUUGAAAAUGAUUUAGUUAAUUAGGUAUAUUUAAUUAUAAAUAAAAAUGUUUAUAUUAAUAAGUUUUAUAAAUUAAUAAUGAUAAUAUUAGUAAAUAAUGUAUAUAAUAAGGAAGGGUAAAUUAAAAUUUGUUAAAUUAUAUUAAGGAAUUAAGCAAAUAAAAAAUUCACCUGUUUAAUAAAAACAUGGUUUUAUGAUUAUAAUUUAAGAUUGUUUCUGCUCUAUGAUUAGGUUUAAUUAAAUGGCUGCAGUAUAAUGACUGUACAAAGGUAGCAUAAUCAAUUGUUUUUUAAUUGAAAACUGGGAUGAAAGAAUUGAUGAGAUUUUAACUGUCUCAAUUUAAAAUGUUGAAUUUGUUUUUUGAGUAAAAAAACUUAAAUGAAAUUAUGGGACGAGAAGACCCUAUAGAAUUUUAUAUUGGUUAAAUUUAUGGAAUGAUUUAAUUUAAAUUUAAGUUUAAUCAAUAUUUGGUUGGGAGGAUUAAUAAAUUUAUUUAACUUUAUUUUUUAUUAUAUAUUAAUGAAUAGUAGUGAAAUGAUGUAAAGAAUGGUUUUUAAAUUUAAAAGAAUUAAUUACCUUAGGGAUAACAGCGUUAUAUCUUUAGAGAGACCUUAUUAAUAAAGAUGAUUGCGACCUCGAUGUUGAAUUAAAAUAAAAAUUAAAUGUAGGUAUUUAAUAUUUAAGUCUGUUCGACUUUUAAAAUUUUACAUGAUUUGAGUUUAGAUCGGCGUGAGCCAGAUCGGUUUCUAUCUAUAAUUAAUUAAAAAAUGAUUGUACGAAAGGACUUUAUUUUUAAAAUAAUUUUAAAUUUAUUUAUUUAAUUAUAAUAAAUGUUUAUUUGAUUAAAUUACUUUAGCAGAAUUAGUG
rnacentral:rRNA from 1 species